rnacentral:tRNA from 1 species
GUUCCCGUAGUGUAGUGGUUAUCACGCUCGCUUCACACGCGAGAGGUCUCCGGUUCGAACCCGGACGGGAACA